rnacentral:lncRNA from 1 species
GAAAAUUUUCCAUGGUAUGUACAUGACACUGAAAUAUCAAAUAUUUCAUCUGAAGCAUUAAUAUUCAAAUCUGUCUUUUUGACAACUGCUACAGAUUCAAUUAAAAUAUUAUUUGCACAAACAUCAUUUGCUGAUUCAGUUUCUUUAGCAUGAUUAUCAAAUGUUUUCUGCUGUAUGCAAGGAAUAUCUGCAUGCAUGCAGAAUUUUUCCAAUCCAGAAAAACAUUAUUCAGAAAAGCAGCUACCAUCCUCCUUGUUACUUCUAGUGGUCUUUUUUCCCUUCGUCCCAAAAUGUGAUGGUAAUUCCUUACUGACAACCUGUUCACAUCUCACAAUAAACACUCAUUUUAGCAGUGAGACCUGUACUUUGAAAGAAGGUGAAGCAAAGUAACUUAUUAUAGCAAACUAGGCAUGCUAAUUUAUUUAUUAAUAAUUCCAAUUGAACACCAGUAGUAGUAAUGUUUGAAAAAUUAUGACAUUAUCUGUUGUCAAAAAUUUAUCUUCAAAGUAGCUCAUUUUUCUUUCAGCUUUGCAGUGUUUUUUACAAAUGUCAUCGUUUUGGUCAUUACUUACAAACUGA